rnacentral:rRNA from 1 species
GAUGAACGCUGGCGGCGUGCCUAAUACAUGCAAGUCGAGCGAACAGACGAGGAGCUUGCUCCUCUGACGUUAGCGGCGGACGGGUGAGUAACACGUGGAUAACCUACCUAUAAGACUGGGAUAACUUCGGGAAACCGGAGCUAAUACCGGAUAAUAUAUUGAACCGCAUGGUUCAAUAGUGAAAGACGGUUUUGCUGUCACUUAUAGAUCGAUCCGCGCCGCAUUAGCUAGUUGGUAAGGUAACGGCUUACCAAGGCAACGAUGCGUAGCCGACCUGAGAGGGUGAUCGGCCACACUGGAACUGAGACACGGUCCAGACUCCUACGGGAGGCAGCAGUAGGGAAUCUUCCGCAAUGGGCGAAAGCUUGACGGAGCAACGCCGCGUGAGUGAUGAAGGUCUUCGGAUCGUAAAACUCUGUUAUUAGGGAAGAACAAAUGUGUAAGUAACUAUGCACGUCUUGACGGUACCUAAUCAGAAAGCCACGGCUAACUACGUG